rnacentral:rRNA from 1 species
AGACCUCGCGCUAUUGGAGCGGCCGAUGGCAGAUUAGGUUGUUGGUGAGGUAAAAGCUCACCAAGCCGACGAUCUGUAGCUGGUUUGAGAGGACGACCAGCCACACUGGGACUGAGACACGGCCCAGACUCCUACGGGAGGCAGCAGUGGGGAAUUUUGGACAAUGGGCGCAAGCCUGAUCCAGCCAUGCCGCGUGCGGGAAGAAGGCCUUCGGGUUGUAAACCGCUUUUGUCAGGGAAGAAACGCUCUGGGCUAAUACCCUGGGGUAAUGACGGUACCUGAAGAAUAAGCACCGGCUAACUACGUGCCAGCAGCCGCGGUAAUACGUAGGGUGCGAGCGUUAAUCGGAAUUACUGGGCGUAAAGCGUGCGCAGGCGGUUGUGCAAGACAGAUGUGAAAUCCCCGGGCUUAACUUGGGAACUGCAUUUGUGACUGCAUGGCUGGAGUGCGGCAGAGGGGGAU